rfam:Hordeum vulgare subsp. vulgare, WGS project CAJW01000000 data, contig: morex_contig_68653
CAUAUACUCCCUUCGUCCGGAAAUACUUGUCCUAAAGAUGAAUGUAUCUAGAUUUAUUUUAGUUAUAGAUACAUUCAUUAUAUUUAUUUUUUGAACAAGUAUUUUCGGACGGAGGGAGUAUAAG